CCUACGGGAGGCAGCAGUGGGGAAUAUUGGACAAUGGGGGCAACCCUGAUCCAGCCAUGCCGCGUGUGUGAAGAAGGCCCUCGGGUUGUAAAGCACUUUCAGUGAGGAAGAACGCCUGGUGGUUAAUACCCAUCAGGAAAGACAUCACUCACAGAAGAAGCACCGGCUAACUCCGUGCCAGCAGCCGCGGUAAUACGGAGGGUGCGAGCGUUAAUCGGAAUUACUGGGCGUAAAGCGCGCGUAGGUGGCUUGAUAAGCCGGUUGUGAAAGCCCCGGGCUCAACCUGGGAACGGCAUCCGGAACUGUCAAGCUAGAGUGCAGGAGAGGAAGGUAGAAUUCCCGGUGUAGCGGUGAAAUGCGUAGAGAUCGGGAGGAAUACCAGUGGCGAAGGCGGCCUUCUGGACUGACACUGACACUGAGGUGCGAAAGCGUGGGUAGCAAACAGGAUUAGAUACCAUGGUAGUA
rnacentral:rRNA from 1 species